UCGAUUAAGGUUCGACUCGAGCGGAAGCGAGAGAACGUUGCCAACGGCAACGGCCCGAAGGGCGCGACGCGCCGAGUCAUCCUUCCCCCACCACAA
rnacentral:sRNA from 1 species